UGUUGGUGAUCACUGAGAAAAUCUUGAAGAGUUCAAGGGGUAUAGCUCUCGCUAUACAACAGAGAAACUGUCUUGAAUACCUGAAAAUCCUAAAAGAAAAACAAAAGUGACAUACUUUUAGAAGGUAUGUCAGAUCUGCUCUUGAAAGAAACUAACCUUAUGAUUUCUUUUACUCCUAGUUGAGUCAUAAACUCUAGUUCUAGUACGUAUUUGUGCACUUCUAUGUGGGGUCUUGAGGGA
rnacentral:lncRNA from 1 species